rnacentral:SRP_RNA from 1 species
GCUGGGCGUGGUGGCGCAUGCCUGUAAUCCCUGCUACUUGGGAGGCUGAGGCAGGAGAAUCACUUGAACCCAGGAGGCGGAGGUUGCAGUGAGCCAAGAUCGUGCCACUGCACUCCAGCCUAGGUGAAAAAGCGAAACUCUGUCUCAA